rnacentral:lncRNA from 11 species
UGAACAACGAGAAAAAGCAGAGAAACCCACAAAUGCAUGGGCUGAGUUCAGGAAGAACGAGACUUCAUACCCACUGCUCUCCCUCCUGCUGAACUAAAAAGGUGAAACUAAAGCUGUACUUUGAACUCAGUUUGUAGCAACUGAAGUGAGCAGAAAGUGGGCAGAGGAAAGCGUUGUAAAAGCAAGUGAGAAAGAGGGACAGCAGGAGACUAAUUGGGGCUGUCUCUGCCAAGUCAGAUGAAUUGGAAGGACCAACUUGAGAAACUGCAAGUCGCUUCUGGUGUGAGAGAAUUGGCCAUCUGCAAGCAUGUUGUCCAGGGAACGCCUGGAUGUUUGAUGUUUUGCCAUCCUUGUGGGAGGCUUCUUUCUUGUCCCUGCAUGGGGAGCUGGAGCUGACAGAGGGAGCUCACCUGCUCUCCCCGGAUUCGAACUGCCAACCUGUCGGUGAACAGUCCUGUUGACACAAGGGUUUAACCCACUGCACCAUUGGGAGUUCUUUGAUAUUUCUCAUAUACCUGAUAGACAUAGUCUGAAUGUGAAUUUAAUGCAAUAUUUCUAAUAAUUUUUCACAUGUAACAAAGCCAAAAAUUGAAAAGAGAAUUGCGCUGAAGGACCGGCAAAUGCACAAAGAAGUGUUCUGUCUAGGAGGAAUUUUUAAGUGCUCCACUAUGAUUCUAGUGCCUAGAAAAACCCCCCAGUGUUUAUCAUUUUUAUUUACAUUCAAUUUUUUUCACUUCUGUAGUGGUUCUAGAGCAGGC